rnacentral:lncRNA from 1 species
CCCUCAGAAAUCAACAAUCAUAACAUUAUCACUCACACCACACACAUACACUAUUUUAUAUUUCCUUCAUCAAUUUUACAAGGCUCUUGGACAACAAAAAUAACAAUGAUUUAUGACUUAGAGAAGCAUAAAGACCCUAGAAUUAAUUUGAUCCAGAUAAGAAUGCCAACCCUAUCAAAGUUGACGGCAGUAAGAGGGCUCUCCUUUUCUGGUAAUGGCUGCCCUCCCCAAGUGAUUUCAUCAAGCUGCACAACCAUGGCAUGUAGCCCAAAGAAGUGAAGUCAGGAGAUGAAUGAGAGGAAUAAAAUUAGGGUUUUGAAAGGGGCAAACCAAAAUUGGAAGAAAUUAGAGUUCCUUCAAAAAAAAAUUGAUCAUCAAAUCGAGCAGAGGAGAGAAAGGGCUUUCUGGUACUGAACUGAGCGAGUCCUCCGACGAGCCCUCGCCGGAGAAGACGGUGGUUGACGGCGGCUGGCGGCGGCGAUUGUCAGAAUCAGAAAUUUCUUUAGGGGUUUUACAGCGCACGGCGAGGGGAGUACCAUGGUGUCGUCGGUUUUUUCAAAAACGUAAUGGUUCGUAGGAGAUCGGACUUUGAAUGUGGCGAUUUUUAGGGUUUCAUGGUGGUGGCUUUGGCAGCGCGUUCAUGGCCGUUUAAUGGUGAUGAAGACGCGGUGGUGCUCGCGGUUCUGGUCGACGAUACAGAGAACCACAGUGGUGGCGGUUUGGCACAGAGGAGGUGAUGGUGGUUGUGUGUUAAGAACCAGA